UACGAAGGGGGCUAGCGUUGCUCGGAAUCACUGGGCGUAAAGGGUGCGUAGGCGGGUCCUUAAGUCAGGGGUGAAAUCCUGGAGCUCAACUCCAGAACUGCCUUUGAUACUGAAGAUCUUGAGUUCGGGAGAGGUGAGUGGAACUGCGAGUGUAGAGGUGAAAUUCGUAGAUAUUCGCAAGAACACCAGUGGCGAAGGCGGCUCACUGGCCCGUUACCGACGCUCAGGCGCGACAGCGUGGGGAGCAAACAGG
rnacentral:rRNA from 1 species